GCAUCGAUGAAGAACGCAGCGAAAUGCGAUAAGUAAUGUGAAUUGCAGAAUUCAGUGAAUCAUCGAAUCUUUGAACGCACCUUGCGCUCCUUGGUAUUCCGAGGAGCAUGCCUGUUUGAGUGUCAUUAUAUUCUCAACUCUCUUGAUUUUUUUUGAAUCGCUUGAGUUGGAUUUGGAGGUUUCUAUGCUGGCCCUCACGGAUCGGCUCCUCUUAAAUACAUUAGCUGAGCUUUUACUUGAUGCAAUGGUGUAAUAAUUAUCUUCACCGAUGUAACUAGUGAAAUAGGCUUGCUUCUAAUCGUCUCUUGACCGAGACAUUAUAAGAAAAAGGGCAACCUUUCUCUUUGACUCUCUUGACCUCAAAUCAGGUAGGACUACCCGCUGAACUUAAGCAUAUCAAUAAGCGGAGG
rnacentral:rRNA from 1 species